rnacentral:lncRNA from 1 species
GAAAAUCUUUGAAUCGAAUCCCCUUGCCUGUGUAUGCCCUGUCGCCUGUCACAUAUUGAGCUCGAUGUUCUUCGCCUUCGUUGUUCAAAGUCUAUUAGUUUUUGUUUAUGUUAGUGACCUAGGUUGUCUUCUGUGAUAAAUUUCGUUUUCCCAUUUUGUUUUUCUUGUCUCGUCUUCCUCCCGUCAUCUAUUUCUUAAGAACUCAUUAGGGUUUCAUCGAUUUCUGAAGACCAGUCGUCGGCCUUCACUAAGAACAGGUCAGUAAGUAUAUUUUUUUGUUAUUGUACUACUAAAAUGAUUUAUCUUCCCAUUUAGUAGUACUAUUGUAACAUCCGUAACCCAUUCUUGCCAAAAUCCCUUUCGUUUUCUUGGUAGCAAGUUCAGAUUCCCCAAAAUGUCGAUUCUCCAUACUUUCUCAGUUGCAUUAAUAAUUUGAUACAAAGAAUGCAGUAGGGUCAUAUUAAUUCAGGACAAACUGUAAAAAUUUAAAAUACAGAGAAGAUUAAAAUAGAAGAGGCGAAGUUCAGAACAAACUGUAAAACCCAUCGUAUGUAAAUCGAUUCCUCUAGAAUAAGUUCUUAACACUACUCUCUCCAAAUUAAAGGAUUGAAGAGAUGGGUGUGAAUUUUUAUUAUGUCUUUUAUAAAAAGUAACUUUGGUUAGAUCAUUGUUGAUUAAUCGGACAGAUAUAUGAACUAAACAUAAUUUGAUACAUGUAGUUAGGUGAUGAUCAUACCUUUUUUUAUACUAUACGCCCACACUAUCAUAAUUAUGUCAAUUUCAUAUAAAACUUUUGUUAGAUCAUACUCCAAGUUCAUUAACAUUUAUGACAUAUGUUACAGAGUACAAAACUUUUGCAAUGUUCAUUUUUGCAGGACUACGCUUUAUUUCAUCAGGAUCCAGUUAGUAGUUGUUGGUUUGUUGAUUUUAAUUUUUUCAUAAUAUUGUCUUUACUUUUUGUACUAUCUUCUUAAUAUGGGCGAUCCCCAAACAAUCCGUCAUAGUCGAUCCCCAAAAAAUCCUUCAACUGACAACCACAUUAUAGGCUCUUCAGUUAUUCAUAAAUCUGAUGAAAAUUUGGAGGUCGCUUCACUCUUUAAGAAUCAGCCAGACCAAGGUCCAUUCUCAAAUGAAAAAACAGAUAUUCUGUCAUCAUCUAUUUUGCAAACUAAUCUAGAGUACAUUAAGAAAUCAGCCAAAAAUGCUAUACAGUCUAAGGUCGCCCCGACCGCAGUCGUUGCCCCUAGGCAAAUUGUUAAUGAUCUAGAACUAGCUAUUUGACCUUUCUUUUGGAAACUAGAAUGCUACUAUUAAGUGUUCUGAAAACCAUACAAUUUCCGAGAAUGUAGAAGAUGUCGAUUGUGAAAUAGUUAAAUUUAUACCUAGUUCGAAUACCCCUAGUAUCCUUCCUAAAUCUGUUGUGUUACGAACACUACGAUCGGGUAAAGUAUUAAUUUCAAAUGAUAGAUCAAUAGGAAAUUCUCAUCGAGUAUCUAGGAGUGUCACUUUGUGUUCAACAACAAAAAACUUCGUCGGUCGGAAGAUUGUUACCCAUAAGGCUAGAAUUGUAAGAUCUCCUACAACGUCUUCCAUUGUUUGUGUGGAAAGAGGUCAUGGUUUGUAUAUUUUUUCUGAUAGUUAUUAUUUUCUAUAUUGAUGAAGUGAAUAAAUGAAAUUACUAUGGAUGAAUUCUGCAAACAGAUAUGGACAGUCCAAGGGAUGAUAACAUGAUUGUUGAUGAUUUGCCAGAUGACAUGCCUCUGAGUGCUUUCAUCAGGAAGAAGAGG